AAUGCUAACUACCUUGGAUGGAUUGUCUCAUAAUAGGCGAUAAUGGUUGAAGAUUAUCCAUUUUAAAAGGUCCCUGGUUAAAUGUCUAGAUCUCAGUGAUGCUCAGUUUAGGCCGGUCCUCCCUCUAGAAGGCAGCAUUAUUCUAACGGGACAAAGUCAGAAGAUUCCUAGCAUUGGUCCCCCUUCACUCCCUGUUUGCAGCGGCGGCUGGUGAUCCAAUUUGUGGGUGGGGUGCAGUAAUGGACGGGGUCCUCCCCAAGAAAAUAUAGAAUUGGUUUCUGGGAUGCCCACUAGUUAAAAAUGUAUUCUGAUUCAUAGCCUACACCCUGACUUGCAGGGCCUGGACAAGCUUACACUGCUUUCACUUUCAUUCCACUAGCCAUUGCUAUUUGACCCAUGGUUGUUAUUCUGAUAUUGAGGCAUAUCAUGAUCAAUGUCCUAUAGUGUUUUACCGGAGUCUCAAGGUCAAUUUCAAAUGCUGUUUGGGACCGUUGUAUCAUUUUUUUUCAUAUGCUACAUGCCAAAUGACUUAAUUAAUAUGUAAUUUACUUGUUCCUUUUAAGUAUAACAUUGCGUGAGGAGUCCAAUUCCUCCACUGAAAUGGGUAGAAAGUGCUUUUACGGCUCUCUGCUAGUUAACUAUCUAUCACUUCUCUCUGCAUGUAGUUAUGUUGCACAAUGCACGAAUGCUGCUGAGGGAGGUAGCCUAUUUGAUUCAUUGGCUGAAUUGUCCAAUCAGCUCCAAAUUACUACAAUGAGUUGAAACACAAGACACAGUGUAGUGUCAAGUGUUUCUUUAAUACUCUUGGUAGGAUAACAAACCUACCAUGAUUUACCGUUCCUUAUGUCGUAUGGUCAUGUACAGGGGUUGGGUUUGUGUCGGGUCUCUUCUUUUUCUGUUUACUAAUUAUUUUGGUGUGUGUGUGUGUGUGUGUUUCAUAAGCCAGAGGCAAACUUUGAACCAAUGCAAAAGGCUUAAAAUUGUUAUGAGCUGGAGCAGUGAAUUUCAGUUUUUCUUUUCUUGUUUGAUGGUUUCGGUUCAUCUGUUCAAAUAUUGUGUUAUUGCUUGGUCCAAAAGCUUUGAUUUCUUUUAACAAACGAGCUGAACAUCAUCAUCAUAAUUAUAAAAAACGGUAUAAUUUGAACUUCAUUAUUUAUUGCUUAGAAUUUUUUCUUGCAUUUAUUCUGUUUGUAUUAUUUUUAACCAUGUUUGAUAAAAUCGA